rnacentral:sRNA from 1 species
UCGUUAAACUCUGUCUACACAUCUACAUA